GAUGAACGCUGGCGGCGUGCCUAAUACAUGCAAGUCGAGCGAACGGACGAGAAGCUUGCUUCUCUGAUGUUAGCGGCGGACGGGUGAGUAACACGUAGAUAACCCACCUAUAAUACUGGGAUAACUUCGGGGAACCGGAGCUAAUACCAGAUAAUAUUUUGAACCGCAUGGUUCAAAAGUUAAAGACAGUCUUGGUGUCACUUAUAGAUGGAGUCGCACUGCAUUAGCUAGUUGGUAAGGUAACGGCUUACCAAGGCAACGAUGCAUAGCUGACCUGAGAGGGUGAUCGGCCACACUGGAACUGAGACACGGUCCAGACUCCUACGGGAGGCAGCAGUGGGGAAUCUUCCGCAAUGGGCGAAAGCCUGACGGAGCAACGCCGCGUGAGUGAUGAAGGUCUUCGGAUCGUAAAGCUCUGUUAUUAGGGAAGAACAUAUGUGUAAGUAACUGUGCACAUCUUGACGGUACCUAAUCAGUAAGCAACGGCUAACUACGUG
rnacentral:rRNA from 1 species